ACCACGUCGGCCGUCGCCAACACAGCCCACUCCCAUCCCCGCACCGCCCAAGGAGCUCCCAAAAUCCGGUUUUCAGCUGCGGCGGCCGCUGCUUCCCGCCGGCGACGAACUAAUGGUGGAUGCUGGUCUUUGUUUUUGCUGGAUGCCAUGACAGGUUUCCCACUCCGGGAGGAGUUCGCCGACAGCCUAGAACACCCAGAUCCGGUCCCUCUCGCUGUGCUGCGGACGGGAGAAGCCAGCGCUAUUGUGCUGGAGGAGUCAAACGCGGGAUCUAGAUAAGGGCAACAAGUUGGGUGUCGCCGGCCGGAGGAGUCGCAGGGUGGCAUGCGCCGGUGGCGUGAGGCAUGCUCGGUCUUCCCAGUCGUCCGACAGGUUCAACCCCAAGGCGCCCGAUUGGACAAAAAGGUUGCGUCUCGGCAGUGCACCACCCGACAGGAUGCCGUGCCCCUCUAGGAUGAGUGCACAAGAGAAGUCGAUUCGCAAAUACUCGGAGGAGCCAACACAAAGUGUUAUUACACCAGAACUAGGAAUUAGUUUCGACUCACUUGGCGAUGGAUAUGAUUUCUACACCUUGUAUUCGUGCGAGAUCGGCUUGGGAGUUAGGAGGAUGUGCUCCAUGCAAGAGGAAGGACAAACGGGGUAGUAGAAAUUCAUCUUAGGGGAAGCAAGCAGAGAACAGUAGAUAGUGCCUGCCGUUCUGGAAUCAGCCUGGCACAGAAUAAUGCCUGAGCCGUUCUCCAGUUAGUUGUUCCGUCUCUCCCUUAUGCUGUGGCCGCAUUUAAUGCACCCACAGGCAGGCUUCAUUUUCCGUCCAUACAUCUGCUAUACAGAGUAAAAUACAGCACUGCUUCACGCAUCCCCAUGCAAGUGAAUGGUGGUGAUUUCAGGAUCAGCUGAGCCUGGGCUCAUAAACGAAUAUCCGGUAUUUUCUGCCAUGUCUCUUUCCUUUGGAAGAGAGAGGUCAGCAACUGCAAACUCAAUGACUGAAGCUUCAAAUAGUACUGAAUUCUUCUCAUCAAUUUUAGAAAGAUAGCCUCCGGCCCUGAUUACUUCACCUUUCUCCAGUAACACCCUGUCCACAUGUUUUUUUGCAACUGAGAGUUGAGAGCACAGCUAGUCUUCUCCAUUGUUGAGAAGAUAUUGUCUACCCCUUCCAGGUCACAAGACUAAGAAAAUAAUCAACUCCUGCGAUCUCCACAACAGAAAGCCAAAAAAAGAAUGCAGUAUUUAUUUGGUUUCAGAGACAAGCAUUGUGUUUCAACCAAAGGAGCUACUUUUAAGCGUACUGGUAUUGACUGGCUGACUGAUCAUGACCAUACAGAAUAUGUGUAAUGCGUGCAUCCAUUGGAGGCAUCCAAAUUGCACAACUUUUUAUCUAAAGAAAUUCUUCAAGGUAAUCGCACAACACCCUAGAAUGUACCAUGACAAAUGUUUGAGAUGAGAAUCCCAAUGGCAGUAAAGCGCUGAUCCUUCA